rnacentral:rRNA from 1 species
AUUGAACGCUGGCGGCAGGCCUAACACAUGCAAGUCGAGCGGAUGAAGGGAGCUUGCUCCUGGAUUCAGCGGCGGACGGGUGAGUAAUGCCUAGGAAUCUGCCUGGUAGUGGGGGAUAACGUCCGGAAACGGGCGCUAAUACCGCAUACGUCCUGAGGGAGAAAGUGGGGGAUCUUCGGACCUCACGCUAUCAGAUGAGCCUAGGUCGGAUUAUCUAGUUGGUGGGGUAAAGGCCUACCAAUGCGACGAUCCGUAACUGGUCUGAGAGGAUGAUCAGUCACACUGGAACUGAGACACGGUCCAGACUCCUACGGGAGGCAGCAGUGGGGAAUAUUGGACAAUGGGCGAAAGCCUGAUCCAGCCAUGCCGCGUGUGUGAAGAAGGUCUUCGGAUUGUAAAGCACUUUAAGUUGGGAGGAAGGGCAGUAAGUUAAUACCUUGCUGUUUUGACGUUACCAACAGAAUAAGCACCGGCUAACUUCGUG